AUGAACCCCUCUCCAACGCCCUUCGAUUCCCGAGCAAUUGCUCGUCGGAGUCGAGGCCGCCGUCUUCUUCCAUUGAAGCUCACGACCUCUCUACAUCAAGCCAGAGCACGACCUCCGCGAAGAACGCAACUGACCGGAGCUCCAUGCAACUCCGGCGAUAUCUCCACGACACUCGAGGAAGGAGACGAGCACCUAUCUGUGUCCCUCGCGACCGCCUCGUCGACCUCUACACUGUCCAACCGUUCAAUGACGCCGGGGGUUUUCUUCUCGAACUCCGGCAAAACUCCAGCGAACUCUCACGAUUGCGACGAGUGCGAAGGUGAAUUCUAUGAGGAGGUAGAACCUUGUGACUACGAAACCGAAGGCAAGUUGCAAAUUGAUCAUGCUUCGACCUAUAUUUUCAUACUAUGCAUAACUCUUUAA
rnacentral:rRNA from 1 species